AGGUAACCGAUCACGCAUAAAAUAACAAUUUGUAAUCAAAACUUCGUGCGACCGAUUUUUGUAAUUGAUCAGCAAGCAGUUCAUGGAGUGAUGGAGAUAAUAAAAUACAUUGGUGAUUUAUUGAUACUGAAUUGGAAAUGUGUUUAUUAUUGGCCAUUGUGCUACCAGGCAGAUUUGACUGCACUAGUGACCUGAUCAUGGACAAAAGAUAGGUUUGCGUAGUGAAUAUUCCGAAACUCAAGCACAGGUUAUCUUAAUAAAGUAGUUAAGCCGC